GGCCUUUGGGGUGUGCAAGCUGUGCGGGCGCACAGGGCACCAUGGCAACAAGGACACAGCGGCCGACACAGCUCGCAGGCAGUCUCUUACAGCAAGCCGGCCCGAGAUUGUGUGAGGCGAGCAUGGCGAGCUGAGCCGCUGCAGCUGUCAGGUCAGGUUCCAGAGCGUGGAGGAGAAGCUUAGGGGCGCAGGCGCAGCGUCCAAGUGCAGAGAGCCACGGAAGGAUCCGCUCAAUGUGUGAGGGCGGCGGCCGGUGCUCUGGAGACAGGGAGGGAGCAGAAGACUUCAAAUAAGGGAUCAGAGAGCUAGAAAGCAGAAGAUGGUGUAUAUUUUAAUGGAAGAAUACCAAAUUGCUCUCUGGGUAUUAGAUUUUCAGGAUUAUGUACCACUGGAUGUCAGCUUCUGAAAGUACUACAGGAGAAAAUAGGCCAGUCUUCUGGUUGUUCGAGAACUUGAUUGCGAUGGAGAAAGCAUUCAAAAAACUAUUUCUCUCCAACUGGAGACGAAUCCUGUCAAGAUCGAUGCAAGUGCGGUAUCGGAUGCUCAUUGAGCCAGAUACUUCUGGGGGAACCUGCCUGGCAUGAGAAGAACCUUCCUGGAAUGAGAAGACAAAACUUCAAGAUUGCUUGGAACCUGGAAGAGUCGAGACGUUCAUCAAGAUUCCCCCCGCACCCCUAAAAGUGACAAAUAUAUUUUUAUUUUUGUACUGAAAUAAGACAUUAAAUGC